ensembl:lncRNA
GUAGAUUGCUUGGGUGACAUCCCCUAGGUAUCUGUGCUUGUAUUUUUUUCCUGCUCUUUUUUAUACCUGGGAAGAUUUUCAUAUAUUAUUCUGAACUACAAAUAAUUAAAGUUCCUAAGAAACUUAAUAUUCCAUAUGGUUGUGAUAAUACUCAAAGAUAAUGACAGUUUCUGAUAAGAGUUCUGAGAUCUCUAUGGGCCUGCUUAUGCCAGAAAUCACAGGACCUUUUCAGCCAAAGUACAUGAGACAUUGAUGCUAACUGCUUGUAUCAAUGAAUGUGAAGGGACAAAUCAAGGAAAGUUUAUAUUUGAGUUAGAUUUGGAAGAUUGAUAGGGAUUCAAUAAGCAAAAGUUAAAGAAGGACCUCCCAGGCAUAGAGAACACUAAGAAUAUUGGAUAGAGUGCUGGCUUAGAGUUGGGAAGAUAUGGAAUCUUUCUUCAACCUCUAUUAUAUGUAUGUCCCUGGGCAAAUCAUCCAACCUCAUUCUGUGACUUAGUUUCCCUAUCUGUAAAAUGAAGUUAGACUCUGUGGUUUGUAAAGUGCCUUUCAGCUCUAAAUCCUUUGUGAGUCAUAGUUUCCAGCAUGGAUACAGGUUAUCAAGACCAGACAGGAGAAGGAAUGGGAAUAUGCAUUUUAUAUUGUAACUACCAAAAAAUGUGCUAAGCAUUGUAAAACUAUUAUCUCAUUUGACCCUCACAACAACCCUAUAAGCUAGGUGCUCUUACUAUCCCAUUUUACAGACGAGAAAACUGAAGCAAAUAAAAACUAAGGAACUUGUCCAGGAUCACAUAGAUAGAAAGUGUCAAAGGUUGCAUUUGAGUCAGUUCUUCCUGACUCCAGACCCAACUCUUCAGCCAUUGGGCCACCUCACUCCUUCUCCAAUAUGCCUCCAGGCCUUCAAACUGGGAAUCAUCCUUGCUGACUUCCUGGCAGUUUCCCUAACUGGCUGUGAUGCUUUCCUAACAAGAAAUGUUGGGCCAAGAGUGAAGUAUAUAGCCCAGCAACUUUAUACCUCCUGCAAAGUGUCAAAGGACGAUGAGCUUCUUAGAGAGAAAUUACUCAGCAUCACUAAAGCUUUUCCCAAGCCUCUGUCCUUUGUUAGCUUGGGAGUAAGACUGGGAGCUAUAUUGACUAAUAAUCUUUCUCCUCCUAAGAAUAACCACCAAAAGCCUUUUAGGGGAAGAUUCAGAAAUAACCUUUGUGGGAUCAUGGGGACAUUACUGAUAUAUAUAGACAGAUAUAUAGAUUUAAAGCUUCUACCUUUCAAUGUGCAAAAGUAAGCUUUCUUUGGUCUGGAACGUUAAGUUCAUCAGUGUAUGGAAUUCCCAUUAUGGCUACUCUCUGCACAGAGACUCUAUAGCAACUUAUCUGAACUUUAGAGUUUUUAUGUGUCUGUAUAUGUGUGUGUAUAAGUAUAUACAUAUAUGUAGAUACACACACAGAUAUCUAUAUCCAUAUUAUAUUUACUUAUACAUUAUACAUUCUACUUGCAGUAUAUAUUGUUUCUCCUUUCAGAAUAUAAGCUCAUUGAGUACAGGAACAAUUAAAAGAAUCCUUUUUAUCCCUAGUAUCUAGCAGAGAGAUUCUGUAUUUAGUACAUGCUUAAUAAGUAUUUAUUGAUUGAGUCAUUGAAUAGUUCAACAAUUGCUUAGGAGGCAAUAAGAGAUUGUGAUUUGCCUAAGAGCACAUGGCUAAAUAUGUCAGAGAUAAGAUUUGAAUCAUAUCUUCCUGACCAAAGAAAUAUACAUACUGAAAAAAGAGGAAUUCAGAAUUAAAAGAUACCAUGGAGGUCAUAUAGUUUUCUAGGUCUCUUCCUCUGUAUGAUAAGGACAUUGAGGCUAUAAAAUCACAAGGGUAAUAAUAAAUAAUAGGGCAAGUAUUUAAAUCCACCUCUUCAAACUUCAAAUAUAGAACUUUUUCUUUCCAGAAUAUUUCCUCUCUAGCCCAACUGGCUAAUGAGAACACUGUUGAUAUGGAGCUAUUCCAGUACCCAAACCCAGAAUCUCUACUGGGAAUCAAUCCUUACUAGUUAUUGACUAAAAUAGUCAGAAAUCUUCUGGAGUCUAUGAUGAUUUGAUGGAGCUCUGCUGGCCAAUGGCACCCCAGCAUCUGAGAGCCCUAUUCAGUGGAAUGGAAAUGCUCAGAAUUGCCCAUCACAUUCAGGACUGAAUUCAUCCAAAAAGCCUCAAGAGUAGUUGUUUCAGUCCUCACAGUUUUCUUCUUCUGAAAAUUGCUUAUAAUUAAAGGGAAAAUGGAAACUUUACCUUGUUUAUUUGCUCAGUUGGGGCACCAGUUCAUUAGCCACAUUAAUAAAAUACCUGCCAGAUCAAAAUAUUUUAAUGGCCGGCUGCAGUCAUUCCAUUGUUUAUUGAUGGUUGUUUACCGGAUAUCUGGAGACAUAAGGAAAACCUUUUUAGCUUGGGCUACUCAUUAGCAAAGUACCAAGGAGGCCAAAUCCCAUAAAAAUAUUGAGCUUUUUUUUUUGGGGGGGGGGAGGGCAGGUUAUCCUCCCAGCAGCAGCAAAGGAAAGGAAUUCUCAUUACUUAUUAAGAUAUGGUAUGUUUUUUUACAUAGUGAGUUUCCUUUUAGUCGUUUAACUCUUUCCCCCCCCCCCAUUUCAUUCUAUUUUAGAGCCUGAAGUAAAAGAGGAUGUGGUCUCCUUAAGCUGGGGGCAAAUGGAAGACUCCUUUCAAAGUAUAUCAGGGCCCACCUGGUGAAGAGUAAUGCUGGGAACCAGGUGUGAUUCCCAGAAAGAGGCAACUCAGGGGACGCAUGGAUAUUCCUGGAAGGAAAAAAAUCAGCAUGGUUCUGAAGUUGCAGCAUAGACCACCUGCUCAAGUUUUUCCAAAGUCUCUUGGGAUUCAUAGAAUGUUAAAGCUGUCAGGAUCCUUAGAGUGAAAGGUCCAAACAGCAAACAGGGGGUGCAUGGCGUGAGGACAGCUGUGAUGUUCAGACCUGCUCACAUGCAUGGGGCUUCAUUUUAUUUUACAGGUGAGAAAUGGAGAUAAGCAGAAUUAAGUGACUCACCCCAAAUUAUAUAGCUAAUAAAUAUCUGAGACCAGAUUUGAACUCUGUUCCUCCUGACUUCAGUAUCACUGUUCUAUGCACUGCAUCACCUAGUUGCUUGGAAAGGACCUUACAAGUCUCCAUGUUAUAGAAGAGGAAAACCUGGCUUAGAUGACUCUUGAGGCAUCAAGGGCUGGCAAAGGAAAAUAAGAUAUGAGAAUGGCAUCCUAUACAAAGAAGAAGACAUUUCAUCUGGAGGAAGUACUGGGAUCACUUUUGUUUUAAGAAGGACAUUGACAAAUAGGAAACAUCCAAAGAUGGAUAGCCAAGAUAAUAAAGGAUCUUAAGUGAUGAUAAAGGACUUUAAUUUCAUGCCUUAAGAAGAUGCACAGAGGAUAGUUAGCCUCUAGAAGAUAUAAGAGAAAAUAGUAGUUAUCCUCAAACAUUUGAAAGACUACUAUUUAAAAAAGGGGGACAGUCUUCAACCAGACCCCAGAGGGCAGAAUCAGAAGUCCUAAGUAGAAGGUACAGAAUACACUUACAAGGAUCAGGAAAAACAUCUUUACAAUUGGAGUUGCCUCAAAGUGGAAAGAUGGUAGUGGGUUUCCUUUUAUUUGAGGUCAUUAAACAAAGGCUAGAUGGCCACAUAUUCACUAAUUUUUUAGAGGACAUUUUUUUUUUCAGAGGUGUAUCACCUAGAUAGCCUAAUGCACAUCUAUCUGAAGACAGGUUCAAAUUCUACAUCAGACACUUAUUAGCUGUGUGAUCUAGAAUAAGCCUCUUCAUCUUCCUAUAUUUGAGGGGUUUUUGGUCUUUGUUUCAUUUCUAAAAUGAAGUUAUUAUACUAGCUGGCCUUGAAGGUUGUUCAGUCUCUCAAUGUAUGAUUCUUUUCUUAUGUAGUAGGGCUGACAGUAGAUCUUGAAUACCUUGAAUCUUAGUUCUCUGUGCUGUAUGCCACCUCUCUAAAAUCCACACAGCUUUCUAAGAAACUCUACAUUGUCUUUUGAGGAGAGGAGGGGCAUAGAAUCCUUUGCUCCAUAGUUGCGGAAUUAGAGCUGAAGUGGACUGUCUCUGACUGAAGAUUGCCUUGGUGAACCUGUUAAGCAUUUACCUGUAUGCAAGAGGAAAGAAAUGGGCCAUAUGGUGCUGUUAAUGACAUCUCUUUCUAUAACUCCAGGAAACCCGAAGCCCUGCUAUCCCCCCUUUCUCAUAUUACUCAAGUAUGUAAUACUCUGAUUCAUAAUUAAUGUGUUUGAUCUAUUGAAGUGUCUAUUUACAUUCUCGUUUUUUGUCCUUCACAGAAACUAAAACGUCUUGUGAAAGCUACAAGGUUGUUCACUGCUGCUCUCUCUGUCUCUAUUUCUAUCUCUGUCUUUCUGUCUGUCUGUCUCCCUUUCUGUCUCUCUCUGUGUCUCUUUUUCUCUCUGUCUCUGUCCCUUUCUCUGUUUUUAUCUGUCUCUCUUUCCCUCUGUCUUUCUGUCUCUCUGCCUUCUCUUUUCCUUCUCUCUUCCUCUCCCUUUCCCUGUCUCUCCCCUCUCUUUCCUUCCUUCCUCCCCCUACCCUUUCACAUGAGUCCAGCACCACAGGGAGAGGCAGCUUGGUAUAGCAGAUAAAGAUAAAAUACCUAGAUUCAAAUCCUGACUCUGGCACAUAUUAGGUAUAAGACAAUAGGCAAGUGAUUUAACCUCUUACUGGCUGAGGAAAGUCUAAGAUGAUAAAUUAUAGACCAGUUCUUGAUCUAUUUUGACAGAGAGAUUUCCCCCUGGGGAUCCCUUCUCAUUUAUCAGAGAACUUCAACUAUGAAAAAAGAAGAAAUCUAUGCAUACAAGAAAACUAUUCUGACUUACUAUUUCCCAUUUAGGACUGACUUUGAGUGUUGAUUAACUUGCAUUUGAACAUUUGUCAAUUUAAACAUUUUGUCUUGCCUAGGUUUUUAAAAAAUGGUUUCUAGAGAGAAGAGCCUUUAACAUAAAACCAUGCCUCAUACUGUCAUAGUAAAUUUAGAGCUGGGAAAGUACAUUUGAGGUCAUUUAGAUAACAAAAGUAAAAUGCAAGGAGGUUUUUGUGACUUGUGUAAGGUUGUUGUUGUUAUUGUUGAGUUAUUCAGUUGUGUCUGAGACUUUGUGACCCCAUGAACCACAGCACACUAAUACUGUCCUUGAGACUUUCUUGCCUAAGGUACUUGAAGUGGUUUGCCAUUUUCUUCUCCAGUGGAUUAAGGCAAACAGAAGUCAAACGAUUUGUCCAGAAUCACAAAGCUAUGAAGUGUCUGACUCUAAAUUUGAACUAGUUCUUCCUGAUUCUAGGCUCAGCUCUUUAUCUACUGAGUCACCUAGCUGUACAGUGGCUGAAUUUGAACCUAAAUCCUCUACUUGCUGAUCUUAUGCAAAAUAUAACUAUAUUUACACAGACACACACACACACACACACACUCACACUGAACAAGGUUUGUAGCUGGAAAGGACCUAAGAUUGUCUAUUCUAAGUUUAUUUUAUAGAUCAUAAAAUAACAAAAAGAUCUUAGAAACCAAUGACAUUUGACAGAAGAGGAAAAUAAGGUAACAGAAAGGUAAAUAAAUGGUAUUUGAACACUGAACCUAUGAUUCCAAAUCCAGAAUUCUUAAUGACACCAUGUUGCUUGUCAUUUAACCUUCCAAUUAUUCAUAAGUAUCUUUUUUAUUACAUUCUAGAUACUAUGGGAACAUGCAGCAGGAUUUUUUUUUUUUUAGGCACAUGUUUUCUGCCCUCAAGGAAUAUACAAUCUAAUUAGAAAGACAAAACAUACAUGUAAAAAGGUAAUUCUACAAAUGGGAGUUCUUAAAUGGAAGUCUGUGAGCUUGUUUUAUAAAUAUUUUGAUGUUUCCUUUGUAAUUCUCUAUUUAUGGAUUUUAAAAUGACUCUGAGAAAGGAUCCAGAGAUUUCACCAGACUACCAAGGGGACCCACAAUGGCAAAAAGGGUGUAUCUCUUAUAAACUACAUAUUGUUGGUUGCUGAUUUCUAGUUCAUUUUGUUAUCUGCUUUAAUGAGCAAAGGUGAAUUGGAGAAGUUUGGAAGCUUGUAAUCUUCAAAAAGGUUGGAAGAAGAAAUCAGAAACCAGGGACCAGUGUCUCUAUAGUGUCAAUAUAGCAAUUGAAACCAGUGAGGCAACACUGAGCUGCUUAAAAUGGUGUAGCAGUGGUUCUGUGGCGGGCAAGAUAUAGGCUGCAAUUAGUACUUACUACCUGAAUAAGCUUGAGUAUAUCAUUUCCUCCCUAGGCUCCACCUCUGUAAAAAAGAAGAGGAAUUAAUUUGGAGCCAAUUUGUAAUAAGCAAGAGCAGUUUGACCCAGAUUAAAAGAUACAAUUAGUCUGUCUGAAUGGUAGACCUAAAAAAGCACUCCUUACAACAAGUUAUUGUUUUAUGACAAAGGAAGAUAUCUUGGCAGAACAAUAAGGCCACUGCCACUGAUAAGAGCCUUGUAAUUUACUCAAAACACUGUAAGGGAUUCAGUGGAGAAAUAUAAGAAGCCCCCAGAAUUGGGGACAUAAAAACAUGUCUUCAUAGGAAUGAAGAUGAACUUCAAGAAAACUAAUCUGGCUGGAUUGUGAGAUACUAGAUAAGAAAAGAUCAGUUUGAAAGAUGUUAUAAUCAUCC